rnacentral:piRNA from 1 species
UAGACAGUUUUGUUCUUAUUAUGGGGAAU